UGGAUAUUUAUAAUGCCAUACUAUCAGUAACUGCAGAGAAUGGUCAAUAUGCAAGCGUUUCUCAUAUUAUGAACAUUUCGUCCGUAUUAGAAGCUGUUGAACAUGACUUGACAUCGAGUUCCUUCUUGGACGAUGUAUAUAUUGAAGAAAGAGAAAACAUAGAGUUGCGAAUAAAAACGAAUGCCUGGAAGAUGGGUUCCAAUAUCAGACUCGGUGGGAACAAGCCAACUCAAUUAUUUUCAAAAGGUCAUGUAGGAAAUGCUGAUUUUUUUGAAAACAUCUUGAUUAAUGGUUCUC